CGGGGGGGGCAAGCGUUGUUCGGAAUUACUGGGCGUAAAGGGCUCGUAGGCGGCCAACUAAGUCAGACGUGAAAUCCCCAGGCUCAACCUGGGAACUGCGUCUGAUACUGGAUGGCUUGAAUCCGGGAGAGGGAUGCAGAAUUCCAGGUGUAGCGGUGAAAUGCGUAGAUAUCUGGAGGAAUACCGGUGGCGAAGGCGGCAUCCUGGACCGGCAUUGACGCUGAUGAGCGAAAGCCAGGGGAGCAAACGGGAUUAGAUACCCCGGUAGUCCUGGCCCUAAACGACGAAUGCUUGGUGUGACGGGUAUCGAUCCCUGUCGUGCCGUAGCUAACGCAUUAAGCAUUCCGCCUGGGGAGUACGGUCGCAAGGCUG
rnacentral:rRNA from 1 species